AGGGAAUCUUCCACAAUGGACGAAAGUCUGAUGGAGCAACGCCGCGUGAGUGAAGAAGGUUUUCGGAUCGUAAAGCUCUGUUGUUGGUGAAGAAGGAUAGAGGCAGUAACUGGUCUUUAUUUGACGGUAAUCAACCAGAAAGUCACGGCUAACUACGUGCCAGCAGCCGCGGUAAUACGUAGGUGGCAAGCGUUGUCCGGAUUUAUUGGGCGUAAAGCGAGCGCAGGCGGAAUGAUAAGUCUGAUGUGAAAGCCCACGGCUCAACCGUGGAACUGCAUCGGAAACUGUCAUUCUUGAGUGCAGAAGAGGAGAGUGGAACUCCAUGUGUAGCGGUGGAAUGCGUAGAUAUAUGGAAGAACACCAGUGGCGAAGGCGGCUCUCUGGUCUGCAACUGACGCUGAGGCUCGAAAGCAUGGGUAGCGAACAGGAUUAGAUACCCUGGUAGUCCAUGCCGUAAACGAUGAGCGCUAGGUGUUGGGGACUUUCCGGUCCUCAGUGCCGCAGCAAACGCAUUAAGCGCUCCGCCUGG
rnacentral:rRNA from 1 species